GUCUCAUCCCACUUGUACGGGGGAGUUGUAAAAGAAAGGAUCAUUAAUUUGGUUCUCUCCUUAUAGCUCUCCAAAGAGAGGGUAAGACGUUACAAGAACGAUCUUUGCCUUAUAACAUACCCUUCUUUUAAAAAUGUUUAUGAACGUCAAACAAUGUAGGCUCGCCUUAAAAACGUGUAGCUGAAAUUAUAAAAUUAUACAACUUUUAACAACGGAUCUCUUGGCUCUCGCAUCGAUGAAGAACGCAGCGAAAUGCGAUAAGUAAUGUGAAUUGCAGAAUUCAGUGAAUCAUCGAAUCUUUGAACGCACCUUGCGCUCCCUGGUAUUCCGGGGAGCAUGCCUGUUUGAGUGUCAUUAAAUUCUCAACCUCGAAUCGUUUGUUUACAGACUUUACGAGGCUUGGACUUUGGAGUGUGCCGGUCUCUAACGGGAUCGACUCCUCUUUAAAUGCAUUAGCUGGAACCUCCUGUGGACCAGACUACGGUGUGAUAAUUAUCUACGCUGUUGGUCUUGUGAAGCA
rnacentral:rRNA from 1 species